CCUACGGGAGGCAGCAGUGAGGAAUAUUGGUCAAUGGCCGGAAGGCUGAACCAGCCAUGCCGCGUGAAGGUCAGUGCCCUAUGGGCGUUAAACUUCUUUUGUGCGGGAGCAAUAAUGGUCACGUGUGGCCAGACGAGAGUACCGUACGAAUAAGCAUCAGCUAACUCCGUGCCAGCAGCCGCGGUAAUACGGGGGAUGCAAGCGUUAUCCGGAUUUAUUGGGUUUAAAGGGUGCGUAGGCUGUGAGGUAAGUCAGCGGUGAAAUGCCCCCGCUCAACGGGGUGAAGUGCCAUUGAUACUGCCUGGCUGGAAUGCGGAUGCCGUGGGAGGAAUGUGUGGUGUAGCGGUGAAAUGCAUAGAUAUCACACAGAACACCGAUUGCGAAGGCAUCUCACGAAUCCGCGAUUGACGCUGAUGCACGAAAGCGUGGGUAUCAAACAGGAUUAGAUACCCUAGUAGUC
rnacentral:rRNA from 1 species